ensembl:lncRNA
AUUCCUCCAAAGUGACCAACAUUUAAUUGUCAUGAAUGACAGUAUUUAAUCUCUGCAGCAAUAUUUCCUGAUUCACUGUGUUGAGAGCCUCUUCUAAAUCAACAGACAGGGAAGUGCAGAGGGUACCGUGACACUGUCUUAAGACUUUCAAAACAACAGUUGUGCUGAUAUGUUUAUAUGACCUUAGACGUCUUGCAGACUGAUAACAUGUGAACGGUUCACUGAAAAAGAUUUCUACAAGGGACAUAGGCCAGGAGGCUUUAUUAUUGGACUAUAAUGAUCUAAUAUAGUUGGAUGUCCCUGAUUUAAUUUAAUAAAAUAAAAUAAAUAAAAAAGAAAGCUGAUUUCCAAAUUUCUGGUAUAACCCCGUUGUCAAAUAAAGAUUAAAAUGAUAAGUUAAAAGAGAUAAAAUAAUAUCAACUGCUAAGUUUAGAAAUACAGACUCCACACAGUCAGGGCCUUGUGAUGUGUUUAUAUCGGACUUGAGUGAUCUGUAAACAUCAGAAGUCUUAACACGUUAAAAACUGAACUCCUCAGAAUUGUUUUUAAUAGCUUCCUGCUUUAUUAAAAUCAGGGUAUAGUAAAUCACAAUAAAUAUUCCCCGUUUUAAGGCCUAGAUCUGAUGCAUAAAUUGAACAUUUAAUGAUGGGUUUUGCAGUUGUGUGUUCCCAGUUGUCUGUCUCCAGUUUCCAGUACUACUGUCCUGUAAACAAUAUCUUCGAUCCUCAGAAAAAGGAUGAAAGGACAUGCCCACUUAGUCUAGCAUUAUUACAACAAGCUGUGAUAACAAAAGCGAUAAGUUUUGCGAUACAACCAACCCACCCAGUAACCAUUAUUUAUAGUAUGAUGUAUAUAGAAUAUAUAUAUAUAUAUAUAUGUAUAUAUAUAUAAGAUGUCCCAACUGUAACCUAUAACUGUAAUUCCAUUCCACAUGAUAUUAUUAUUGAUCAGCGCUUUUUUCCAAGUGACUGCAUGUGAGAGCUCAAGGCCGUUACUCCCCUUAACAAUUCCUAGAUCGGUAGUACACCUGGAAGCGUCUCCUUCGCGGGGCUGUGGGCUCCCCUGUGGUGUACUCCUCUGUGGUCAUAGGCUCCCUUGCACCCUCCCAAUGCCGUCAGGACAUGAUUGGGGUCAUCCUCCGCCCCAUAAAAGCACAACAAAUGUUCCUGGACGUUAUCAAGUAUGAUCUGCAGUAGAUCCCUGAUUGCUCACUAAAGGACAACAUCCUGAAAUCCGGGUGUUCUUUGGACAAGCCUGACAUUGAAUGGACCCAUGCUUUGCACCUGUACUAUGGCUGACAAACUACAACAAAGACUGUGUCUUACAUGUGACUGAAAAGGGGGGGUGCUGCUGGGGGGGUCCCGGCUCAGGAGAAUGGGGCGCUUACAGGGCUGAAGUUUAUGUAUUGAAAACAUUGGAUUUGGUGGCACAAGGAUUGCCAGGCUGGAGAUGCUCUCUUAGUGUGGAUCAUUGGGAAAAUUGCUCUCUCACACAUCGAUCUUACGUUUAUCACACCAGGUCAUUUCUAUUUUGAAAGAACAGGAUAUGGGGAUAUGGGGUUAAUCUAUGUACCACCCGAACUAAAAUUCUUAAACCUGUUAGUGUGCCUAACUCACCAACUGUAGUGUCGUAGUGGUGUAAUUAAUUCUGUGGAGCCAGUCACUGAGAACACUCACGAUUGCCCAGCCGAAAUUCGUAUUUCGUUGAGCUUAAAAGUUUUGGGUCUGAAAUUUCACAAACAUUAUGAACACCCUGUUCUGCCCAAUUGGCUGAAUUGAAGUCACUAAAGAAUGCAACCUAAGGGUAGAAUUGUUAAAAAAAAAAUAUAUAUAAUAAAAAAUAAAUAAAAAAAUAAUAUAAAUACUGACGUUUAGGCCCAUGGAUUGUGUCGUCUGUUUGGAGUUGUUUGAAUGCAAUGAGGUUCUAGGAAAAAAUUGGAACGCCACUUAUCGAACAAAUAGUUUAAUUGAAUUCUGACUGCACUUCUUGCUGUAUGUAUGAUCUUAGCCAGUGUGCGAGGGGGAAGGUAAAGGAAUGAUCCCUGUACUUGCAGGCAACGGUGGAGGAUCACCUGAAGUGUGCUCAAAAUUAUUUAUUUUUUUCCUUGACCAGGGAUAGGUCUGGCACACCCUGAUUUGUGUUUGAUGUAAUUUGUGCUGAUACUAAACGUAUUUCGGUAGAUGCUCUACCUCUUGCACUAAUGAUGUUCCUUAUGAUGGACUGCUGCUGGAGUAAUUGCAGAUGAAUCAAAAACAUAUAUAAGACCACUAACUAUUAUGUAUGGAGCUAUAUAUUCACAGGAACAGAGCUGAGUGCAGUGUUAUGUGUGAGGCGUCACCGCCUCAACGGGGGGAGGUGUUCAGAGGUGUUCACCCAGAGGUGGGAGUCCCGGAGCAACGAGAGAAUGCUGACUACAAGGCGACAGCAGACUGCCAGGACAUGCGAACCCCUGGAGGAUGCUCAAUCCUCCAAUGACGAGAUGGUGGGGAACACGUGAAGGUCCGGUACGAAGCGUCAACGGGGGGUCUGCUCUGUGGCAGACAGGAUGAGAAGAUGUGAAGAUCCAUACCCUGGGUGUACGUGCUAGCCUAACCUCUCCCCAAAGGGUGGCUCUCUACAGUACGUAAAGUGCUUGAGCUGAAGACAACCAGCAUACAGAGAGAUACUGCAUACAACAGACUGUCAAGUAUUGUUAUAAAAUGUUAUAAAAUGUUUGUGAUGUGACGCAAUCAGUCACAGAAAAGUAUAAUGGUGCUGCCGAGCACAUAGUGCUGGCCGGGUGGGAAUUUUUCCUCAUAAGAGGUUUUUUCGCCCCCACCCCCGACUGCGAAAGACUGGGGUUUGGUUUUUGAGGGGAAGCAAGAAUCUGCAGGUCCCGACAAAUACAAAACUGUGGGCUGACAGGCCUAGUUGAGAAAGAUAGGGACGUGUAGAUCAAGUAGUUAGUUACUGUAGUGUACUCAUACGUACGGCAGUAGUAGUAGUAAUGAAUGAUUAGGGGAACUCAGUUAAUCACACUUAUAAUCGAUGUAGGCAAACAAACAUAUAAUCAAGGUAGUUAGAUUCGAAAUGAGAUAUAUAUAUAUAUAUAUAUAUAUAUAUAUAGUUAAAAGGAGAAGUAGGUUAAGGGUUAAGAGUUAUGGCUAGGUACAUCUACACAUGUCCGGCGCAAAGUGGAUGUAAGGGGGUCCUAAGGCCCAUUCUCCAGCUGCCAAUCUACUAUGAGACCCCGGGGCGCACAACACUAGCACGUCUCCCACCAGGUCUACAAAACCUCCUCAGCUCCUAUUCGGAUCGGUGUUGCGUAGAAGUGGUUAAUGUAAGGGACCCAUUGGAUUACGGGGACGACGGGCGGGAUUAUGGCUUUGUUAGAGUAAUCCUCCGACAGCUAGCGGGGGACGGCCAUGGGGUGCGGCAGAAUCAGUUCCUCCAUGCUUAAUUAAGGUAGUGUAUGAGGCUUCAUAGCCUCAGAGGGGGAAAUGUUGUGGAUAAAAAAUGUCAUAAAAUAAACAUAAGGGAGGUCCAGAUCCAGAUCCAGGUCCAGUAACGGUGAGAGAAGGGACUGACGACGGGCACCGGCACCUAGACAUACAGAAGCGGUUUUAGUCAGAGGUGGAUAAAUUGGUAAAACACUUUAAAGAUCUUUAUGGGUUAUUAGUCGAAAUAGUCGAAAGAAGUGUACGAGCUGAGGAGUGCUAAAACACACACACACACACACACACGCUCGUACAGUCAAGGGCGGGCAAGUAGACACAACGUACGCACACACUCUCUCUUUCUCAUACACACACAUGAAUAACUUUAAUAAUAUCUUAUAGUAAUAGAGAAACUCUAUAAAAAACAGAAUAGUAGGAUAUGCAGGACAGUAGAACUGUAAUGAUAUUAAGAAGUUGGAAGUACAGUAAACCGCUUUUCAAGUAGUAUAAAUAUAUAUAAAAUAAGAAAUAUAGUGCAAAUAUGAAAAUAAAUUAUAAACUAGAAAUACAGGAAAAUAUAACUUACUCAUGAUUCAGAUGGUGAAGAUUCUCGUCUCGCAAGGAAAGCCUUAAUUUUUAGAGAACCAUGAAGAGAGCCAGUUAUAAGGGUGGCUGGGUCAAACUGCCCCCCCCGAGAUAACGAUAAGACCAAGGUCCCUCCCGGUUGUUCAGUCGUCUUGUCUACGUCAUUUUUUUUACCUAGGGAAUUGAGAAUCCUGGUUUCUGACCACCUAGGUAACUAGAAACGCUGGGUUUUUGUUUCCUGGAUUGUUGGAAAUGCCUGGGUUCUGAUUUUAUGUGUAAAUUAAAACCCCUGGUUUCAAUUCUAUGUGUAAGUGAAAUAGGCCUUUUCUGGAAACCUAUGGGUUAUCUAGUGUGUAAGUACAGUAUAAAUACUGGAGCUUAAGCUCAGGGUAUUGGGAUCACUUCUGAGAAUUCUCAUCGGUGUGGAUCUCGUGUGGUGGAAUGGAACAAUAAAGCUGGACCCUUGCUUCUUCUCACUCACGGCUGGUGUAUUUUUUCUAUCUCCAACUGGGCUCAGAGGUAGAUGUGAGUAUUGGCUUCUAAGUUGAAUUUUAAAUGUUUUUGGGUAAUAGGCUAAAUUUGAGCCAACACUAGAUAGAUAGAUAGAGAGCUAGAUAGAGCUAGAUAGAGAGAGCUAGAGCUAGAUAGAGAGAGCUAGAUAGAGAGAGAGAGCUAGAUAGAGAGAG